GACGUAGGGGGCCAGCGUUGUUCGGAAUUACAGGGUGUAAAGGGUUCGUAGGCGGUGUGGCAAGUCGGGAGUGAAAUCUCUGGGCUCAACUCAGAGACUGCUUCCGAAACUGCUGUGCUGGAGUGUGGGAGAGGCGCGUGGAAUUGCAGGUGUAGCGGUGAAAUGCGUAGAUAUCUGCAGGAACACCCGUGGCGAAAGCGGCGCGCUGGACCACUACUGACGCUGAGGAACGAAAGCUAGGGGAGCAAACAGG
rnacentral:rRNA from 1 species